rnacentral:rRNA from 1 species
UACGUAGGGAGCAAGCGUUGUCCGGAAUCAUUGGGCGUAAAGCGCGCGUAGGCGGCCAGAUAAGUCCGGUGUGAAAGUCACAGGCUCAACCUGUGAAUGCCGCUGGAAACUGUCUGGCUAGAGUCCGGAAGGGGCGAGUGGAAUUCCUGGUGUAGCGGUGAAAUGCGCAGAUAUCAGGAGGAACACCAGAGGCGAAGGCGGCGACCUGGACAAGUACUGACACUCAACUACGAAAGCGUGGGGAGCAAACAGG